rnacentral:lncRNA from 1 species
UCCUAUUAUACAAUGUCUAACUGUGAAACUAUUUUGUAUUCAGCCUAAGAAAAGCAUGCCAGACUUCAAUUACGAAGGAGAGGCUGAUAUUCUGGAAAUGACAAAAAAUGUAAGUAAUAAAAUAAUUGUCUUGAAAUAGAAUAACGCUAAGUAGAAAUGGUCUGAUUUUGAUGUUUACAUCUGUCAGGCGAUGCCAUUGUUCACUGCACAUGCGGAAAGAAUGACAUUGGAGGGUACAAACCAUAGCAUGAAUUUACACAAUAUGUUAGUGGCAGCAGGAGGGGCUAACACAAAUAUGGCCAGGAUGAUUAUGGAAAAUUAGUUACAUAAUGAGAAGAGUAGGGUUGUUGAAGAUUUCAGAAAGUUGUUUGAGUGCAUCAUAAACAUCAGACUGGAGAACAAGAAAAAUAACAUUACUUAUUUGAGGGGCAGUGGAAAUAUGUUGAUUGAAGGUAAAUAAAAAAAUAGAAUUACAGCUGCAUUAAAACGGACAUAAGUAAGUUGCAGAGUGUUUGACAGGUUUGAAGACAGAAAUCAUGCAGUUAUUGAAAGGGAUAGGUGCUUCAAAAGACAACAGUGUGGCAGGUAUGAAAAACUGCUUUCAACAAUUUGUUUACGCAACAACUAAUGUAUAGGGGGAUUAUUAGAGGGGUUUUAAUUCCUACAUCGAAAAAGUGUUGAGAUAAAUGAUAAAACAUAGUUUUGUGUUCUGGGACAACAUGAAUAAUUUAACAUUCAAACUUAUUCAUUUUAUUUUAUUCUAUGGCGGAAAGAGUCUGCUACUUUUCUGAAGGAAAGUAAAGGGAAGGAGAAAGUGGAUGAUGGCACUGGGAAAAGCUUACUUGGUAAGUUAUGUGAUGAUGAUAGACAGAUGAGUGGAAUGUAAUUCCAUUCAAAAGUUGAUGGGUGCAACUGAAUUAAUUUGAAAUACAUUGGGGGCGACAAGGGUGGUUUUUCCAAUUAUUGCAUGGGACCUCUAAAAAAAUUACCCAGUAACAAGUUGGGACUGGAUGAGUGGUAUGAAAGAAAAGGGGUAUUUGUUCCAAUGUCUGUGUUUGCGCAAGCAUAUUUAACACAAAGAAUAAAUGGUAAAUGUUUGCUAAACCAACACUUGUAGUUUAUAUGGUAGCACUAUGAAUUAUGCUUCAUAUAUAUAAUGUACUGACAUCUGAAUGCAACAGCUGAUAUACCAGAUUUGAACAUCCCAACAUAUGAUGAAGGACAGUUUGUAGCCCAGACAAAUGAGGUGGCGCUUAAUCAGAAGAAAAGGCAGGCUUCUGAUAUGACUAGAGUGGAGGAAAUAGUUUUCGAGCCAGCGAAAAGGAAAUGUGUAUAUGUGAGACAACGUAGGAAGAAAGUUGUUUUUGCAAUCUCUCCUUUUGCACUAGGGCAAUGCUACGAGGAGAUAAGGCACGCAGUGGCAAACGUGGGGUUGAGGAACAUGAAGCAAUCAUUCCUGGGAACGCGUCCUCGGUAAGCUUUCAGGAACUAAGUUUGAUUAUGUAACAUGUAUUAGAAAUUUGCGUGGGAGUUUGACUGACACUGGUGAAAACUAUGGUUGUAGCACUUGGUUCAAGCAUGAGGAGCCUGAUUUGCUGGAGAUGACUGGGGAUAAAUUUGUAGAUCGGUUUACUAGUCCAUGUGGACUGACUUAUAGAGGAUUUGCUGUGGUGAUUAGGAUGAUGUGGAUGGUUGAGCUGACUUGGAUGACACCUGCACAACGAAACCGUUGGAGGCACAUCUUGCUACCUCUUUGGGCGGUGAGUUAUUAAAAACUAUGGGGCAAAACAAAUUAGGAAGAGACGAUUCCUUGCUAAUAAUGACAAUUUCAUAUCUGUUUAGGAGCUUGUGGUGUAUGAUAAAAAUUAUCUUGCGCAUUCAAAGGUGAAAGAAAUGUUCACAAGUGAGGUUUGGGGGUAUGAUCUGCCGUGCUGCAGGAUGGUAAGUAAAUUGUUUGUACUUGCAAUCCAAAGUUUGUAGUCGUAAGAUUUGUUUUGAUAUGAAGUAAGUUGUGUGACCGGUUAUUUCAGAUAAUAGCGCCUAUAAGAGACAAAGAACAAUAACUGGACAUUGUAUGCUAUUGACAUGAGCGAAUGCAUUGUGCAUGUCCUUGAUCCAAGGAGUUCAUGCAUUGGAGAGGAACAACUGCUGGAAAACACAGUGGCAUUUGUGACAAGCUGAUUACUGGAUUAGCGAAGUGUGCAAGAGAGUUCUAUAAGGGCUGGGAAGUGGUCCCCGAGAAGUUAACAUACACCCGAAACUUCAUGGGCCAGCCAGCAUGUAAGUUAAUUGUUUACUACUAUUUUGUUAUGCUUAUAUGAAAACUUUCUGGUUAAUAACAACUAGUUUCGUUUACGCAGUGAAAAAUCUGCGUUCGACAUGGUGCACCAUUUCACAUACUUCGACGGGAAAUCACUAGUGAAAGGGAGAUCAAAAGCAAGUUCUUCCCCUACUUGCCUGUCUUUCAAAAAAAUAUUUUUUUAGAUAUGGUUGUUAUAUCAUAUUUAUAAUAAUUCCGGCUAGAAAUUUAAUAUAUCUAAUGUUUACUUCUUGUAGGAGUUGAAUAAACAACUGAAGGCCAAUGACCUGCAGAUGGUUCUAGGAAUGAAAGGGAACAAAGGAUACCCGCCAAAAGGCGUCCUUGCGCCUGAAGUCUAGAUUCCAAUGGAUUAGAGGAACAAGUAUGUAGAAGUGAUAUGUGUGUAUUAUUUUGCGUUUGAAUAUGUAUCAGGCUUCAUCAUGGUACUGAAAUAUGCUGACAUGUGGACAAACUGCAACAUGUAGACAUGGCUGCAUAUAUGGAGUGCUUAUCUGCGAGCUAAGAAAAAUUGAGUUGUACCAUCUAAGGAUGGGGGGUUUUGUUUGUUGGUAUGCUUCAGAAAUCUAAUAUUUAACAUGUUGCCCCUUGGGGCACGCAAAGUGUUUUAUGGUAAGCAUUCUUGAACAGAAAAUAGUCAAUUUUUGAGAGUAAAUGAAUGAGGAAAAAAUGAAGCAAUAUUGCCAGAAAUUUGUUAAAUCGUGGACUGGCAAUAGUAAGAAUUUUGCAAAGACAUGAACUGAAUAGUACAUAUAUUAUUCUGAUAAUAAACAUGAUUGACAUCUAGGGAUAAAGUUAGGGGACUCACAAGGGGCUGGAGGGGGUCUGCAAAUCUUAGCAAUCUUGAACCGAUGGGCAGAUCACUAGGCAUCUUGGAUGAGGAGGCCUGCGAUGCAAUAGGGGGAUUCGUUUAGGAAGGGGAAGAUGAGGCUGCUAAGUAACUGUUGUAUAUUGCAGGGGACAGGGGAAGGGGAGAAGAAAUGAAGAUCUGAGAGGAGAGGAGAAGUGAGGAGAAGUGCGCAAUGCCAGAUCUGUAAGGCCGAAGUGGUGGGAUGACUAGGGGGUAGGUGGUUUGAGUGGCUGGGAGUAGUAGCAUGGUGAGUGAGGUGAGGCUUUGGUGUUGGCUGCUGAUUGGUAGAACCAACUUUAGGUGCUAUGGUGGGGCAAACAAGGG